rnacentral:rRNA from 1 species
GAGUUUGAUUAUGGCUCAGGAUGAACGCUAGCGGCAGGCCUAAUACAUGCAAGUCGAGCGGGAUUAAGUAGCAAUACUUAUGAGAGCGGCGCACGGGUGCGUAACGCGUAUGCAACCUACCCACAACUGGAGGAUAGCUUUCGGAAACGGAAAUUAAUACUCCAUAAUGCAGGGGUACCGCAUGGUACUAUUUGCUAAAGAUUUAUUGGUUGUGGAUGGGCAUGCGUCUGAUUAGUUAGUUGGUGAGGUAACGGCUCACCAAGACAUCGAUCAGUAGGGGGUCUGAGAGGAUGAUCCCCCACACUGGCACUGAGAUACGGGCCAGACUCCUACGGGAGGCAGCAGUAGGGAAUAUUGGGCAAUGGGCGAAAGCCUGACCCAGCCAUGCCGCGUGAAGGAAGAAGGCCUUCUGGGUUGUAAACUUCUUUUAUACAGGAAGAAAAAGGUCAUGCGUGGCCAAUUGACGGUACUGUAUGAAUAAGCACCGGCUAACUCCGUGCCAGCAGCCGCGGUAAUACGGAGGGUGCAAGCGUUGUCCGGAUUUAUUGGGUUUAAAGGGUGCGCAGGCGGCACGUUAAGUCAGUGGUGAAAUCCUCCCGCUCAAC